rnacentral:rRNA from 1 species
ACAUACGACCAUAGGGUGUGGAAAAUAGGGCUUCCCGUCCGCUCAGCCGUACUCAAGCCACACGCCGGUGAGUUAGUAGUUGGGUGGGUGACCAUCAGCGAAUCCUCACUGUUGUAUGUU